rnacentral:rRNA from 1 species
UACGGGGGGGGCAAGCGUUGUUCGGAAUUACUGGGCGUAAAGGGCUCGUAGGUGGCCAACUAAGUCAGACGUGAAAUCCCUCGGCUUAACCGAGGAACUGCGUCUGAUACUGGAUGGCUUGAGUUUGGGAGAGGGAUGCGGAAUUCCAGGUGUAGCGGUGAAAUGCGUAGAUAUCUGGAGGAACACCGGUGGCGAAGGCGCUGCUCUGGGCCGAUACUGACGCUGAGGAGCGAAAGCGUGGGUAGCAAACAGG